rnacentral:siRNA from 1 species
GUUAGGUGUCAAAAGGACUAAAUG